rnacentral:rRNA from 1 species
UACAUGAGGAGUAAGCGUUAUCCAUAGUGACUGAGUGUAUUAAAUAUAUAGGAUACUAUAACUACUACUAUUAAAACGUAUAAUAACUAAAGAUAGUAGAUUUUUUUAUAUAUGCUAAUUUAUAUUGAGAGGAGGAGAUUUAUAGAACAACGAUUAAAUGUAGUUACACUAUAGAGCUUAUCAUAAACUAAGGUGCUCUUCUAAUAUAAAUUUUAUCUGAUUUAUGAAAGUAUGGUUAUCGAUAAGGAUUAGUUUCCCUAGUAGUCCAUACUGUAAAAAAUGAAUACUUUACGAUUUUUGAUUAAUCGGUAAUAGCUAACGCAAAAGUAUUCCGCUUGGGUAGUAUUAUCGCAAGAUUAAAACUUAACUGAAUUGGCGGGAAUUUGUUCGAACGGUGGAACAUGUGGUUUAAUGCGAUAAUCCACGCAAAAUCUUACCAAUGUUUUAGGCUUUAUUAGUAGUAUAGUUAAUACUAUAAUUAAAUAGUAAGGUACGGAAUUGCAUGGCUGUCGUCAGUUCGUGCCGUGAGGUUUAGGAUUAAGUUUUUUUAAACGAAUGCAACCCUAUAAGAGAGUAUUUAGUUGCAUAAUACUUUUUAUGUAUACUAUUCUUUUUUAAUCUAUGAUUGGUUUUAACGAAAUCUAUUUCGUUAGUGCCAAUUAUGGGGGUUUUAGGCUGAAGUCAAGUCCCUAUGGUCUUAAUACGUUGGGCCACACACGUGUUACAAGGAUAAAAACAAAGAGACGCAAAAAAGUAAUUUUUAGCAAAUCUCCAAAAAUUAUCUUAGUUCAGAUUGUUUCAUGAAAUUCUGAAGCAUGAAGAUGAAAUCGUUAGUAAUUGUAAAUUAUUAUGUUACAGUGAAAUAAUUGUCAAAUUUUGCACACACCGCCCAUCACGCUCGGAGAGUCGAUAUUGGUGGAAGAUUUUAAAGUCUUUUAGUAUAUUUAAUAUACAUAAAUACUAUUAUUUAGUAGCUAGAACGAUAAGUAGUAUCCAAUCUAAUACUGGUGAUUUGAGUGAAGUUG